CGAAUAUAGAUGGAGGUGGAAUUCCCAGCGGUGUUUCGUGCCGUCGAGUGUCCGAUUUCAGUCCCAUGAACUCGAUGGCAAAACACAGCUGACCGCGUUUGAUUAAACAAGAUGGCCGCCGCCACGUAUUCGACUAUACGAACGGCGACCACCCAGCCGUUCGUCAAUUAAGCUGCGGUUAACCACAGCUUCUGGGAGGUUAACAGGCUGCACACUCCACU